UAAGAAAGCAGGUCUAGCAAGCCAGCAAAU
rnacentral:piRNA from 1 species